GACGAACGCUGGCGGCGUGCUUAACACAUGCAAGUCGAACGGAAAGGCCCUGCUUGCAGGGUGCUCGAGUGGCGAACGGGUGAGUAACACGUGGGUGAUCUGCCCCUUACUUUGGGAUAAGCCUGGGAAACUGGGUCUAAUACUGGAUAGGACCAUGCUGUAGGUGGUGUGGUGGAAAGAUUAGUUUCGGUAAGGGAUGAGCUCGCGGCCUAUCAGCUUGUUGGUGGGGUAAUGGCCUACCAAGGCGUCGACGGGUAGCCGGCCUGAGAGGGUGGACGGCCACUUGGGAACGGGGUGACGGCCCAGACUCCAACGGGAGGCAGCAGGGGGGAAUAUGGCACAAUGGGCGCAAGCCUGAGGCGGCGAGGCGGGGUGGGGAUGACGGCCUUCGGGUUGUAAACUCCUUUCAGCCAUGACGAAGCCCUUGUGGUGACGGUAGUGGUAGAAGAAGCACCGGCUAACUACGUG
rnacentral:rRNA from 1 species